GACGAACGCUGGCGGUGGGCUUAACACAUGCAAGUCGAACGGAAAGGCCCUGCGUUUUUGGUGUUCUCGAGUGGCGAACGGGUGAGUAACACGUGAGUAACCUGCUCUUGACUUUGGGAUAACUUCAGGAAACUGGGGCUAAUACCGUAUAGGAUCUCCUGCUGCAUGGUAGGGGUUGGAAAUUUUCGGCUGUUGGGGAUGGACUCGCGGCUUAUCAGCUUGUUGGUGGGGUAGUGGCUGACCAAGGCUUUGACGGGUAGCCGGCCUGAGAGGGUGACCGGCCACCUUGGGACUGAGAUACGGCGCAGACUGCAACGGGAGGCAGUAGUGGGAAAUAUUGCCCAAUGGGCGGAAGCCUGAUGAAGCAACGCCGCGUGCGGGAUGACGGCCUUCGGGGUGUAAACCGCUUUCGGCUGUGACGAAGCGUGAGUGACGGUAAUGGGUAAAGAAGCACCGGCUAACUACGUG
rnacentral:rRNA from 1 species